UGCUGCUUCCUCACCUGAUCUAUACAGAAUCAAUUUGGAGCAGGGAAGGUUUCUCUCUCCUCUCAGUACUCAAUCCCCAGCGCUUAAUGUUGUUUCUCGAAGCACCCUCCAUGGAUUAGUCGCUUGUGGUGGUGAAGAUGGUGCCGUGGAAUUUUUUGAUACGAGAACUAAAUCAUC